rnacentral:piRNA from 1 species
UUUUGAAGGCAACAUUGAGA